rnacentral:rRNA from 1 species
GGUCUGGAUUCUGGCUCAGAUUGAACGCUGGCGGGAUGCUUUACACAUGCAAGUCGAAUGGCACGGACUUCGGUCUGGUGGCGAGUGCGAACGGGUGAGUAGCCGUAUCGGAACGUGCCUAGUAGCGGGGGAGAACUACGCGAAAGCGUAGCUAAUACCGCAGCGCCGGCCCUUCGGGGGAAAGCGGGGUCCGGGCCCCGCACUAUUAGAGCGGCCGAUAUCGGAUUAGUUAGUUGGUGGGGUAACGGCCACUGGCGACGAUCCGUGGCUGGUUUGAGAGGAUUCACCAGCCACACUGGGGACUGAGACACGGCCCAGACUCCUACGGGGGUAGCAGUGGGAAUUUUGGACAAUGGGGAAACCCUGAUCCAGCCACCGGGCAUGGCCGCCUUCGCUAGUAAAGCAAUUUUGCAGAAGAAACGGCACGGAAAGUUGGCUGCUCCCGCAACUGACGGCAAAGCUCUCGCAGAAUAAGCACCGGCUAACCCGCCGUGCCAGCAGCCGCGUAUUACGUAGGGUGCAAGCGUUAAUCGGAAUUACUGGGCGAAGCGGCAGGCGGUUCGGAAAGAAAGAUGUGAAAUCCCAGAGCUUUAACUUUGGAACUGCAUUUUUAACUACCGAGCGAGAGUGUGUCAGAGGGGAGGUGGAAUUCGCGUGUAGCAGUGAAUGCGUAGAUAUGCGGAGGAACACCGAUGGCGAAGGCAGCUUCCUGGGAUAACACUGACGCUCAUGCACGAAAGCGUGGGGAGCAAACAGGAUUAGGAUACCUGCAGAACUACGCCCUAAACGAUGUCAACUAGCUGUUGGGGCCUUCGCUUUGGUAGCGCAGCUAACGUGAAGUUGACCGCCUGGGGAGUACGGUCGCAAGAUUAAAACUCAAAGGAAUUGACGGGGACUCCGCACAAGCGGUGGAUGAUGAUUGACCUGAUGCAACGCGAAAAACCUUACCUACCCUUGACAUGUCUGGAACUUGAAGAUUUGGGAGCAAGCUCGCAAGAGAACCGGAAACAGGUGCUGUAUUGCCGUCAGCUCGUAAGCCGUGGAGAUGUUGGGUUAAGUCCCGCAACGAGCGAACCCUGUUGCCAGUUAAGGCUGAAAGGGUACUCUAUCGAGACUGCCGGUGACAAACCGGAGGUGUGAUGACGUCAAGUCCUCAAGGCCCCGCGGGGAGGGGGAAGCCUCACACGUCAUACAAUGGUCGGGACAGAGGGUCGCCAACCCGCGAGGGGGAGCCAAUCCCAGAAACCCGAUCGUAGUCCGGAUCGCAGUCUGCAACUCGACUGCGUGAAGUCGGAAUCGCUAGUAAUCGCGGAUCAGCAUGUCGCGGUGAAUACGUUCCCGGGUCUUGUACACACCGCCCGUCAUACCAUGUGAGUAGGCUUACCAGAAGUAGUUAUGGCCUAACCGUAAGGAGGGUGAUUACUACGGUAGGAUUCACAGACUGGUGAAGUCGUAAUGUUGGUAG